UACGGAGGGUGCGAGCGUUAAUCGGAAUUACUGGGCGUAAAGGGCGCGUAGGCGGUCUGUUAAGCCAGAUGUGAAAGCCCCGGGCUUAACCUGGGAACAGCAUUUGGAACUGGCAGACUUGAGUGCAGGAGAGGAAGGUAGAAUUCCAGGUGUAGCGGUGAAAUGCGUAGAGAUCUGGAGGAAUACCAGUGGCGAAGGCGGCCUUCUGGACUGACACUGACGCUGAGGCGCGAAAGCGUGGGUAGCAAAC
rnacentral:rRNA from 1 species